rnacentral:misc_RNA from 1 species
GGACAACAAAGAAAAUCCAAAUAAUAAAAGGAUUAUGGAAAGUUAUUUCAACUGGUACUACGCUACUAUUGGAAUGUCAACACUUGUUGCGACAACCUUAAUUGUGUAUAUUCAAGAUGCUUUUGGUUGGCGAGUUGGUUUCGGAAUUCCUGCUAUCCUUAUGUUUUUCUCUGUUACAGCCUUCCUUUUGGGUUCUUCUAUGUAUAUCAAAGUUAGUGCUAGUGAAAGUUUGUUCACUGGAUUCUUUCAAGUACUUGUUGCUGCUGUUAGAAAAAGAAAGAUCGAUCUUCCUGUUAACUGUGCAAACUAUUAUCAUCAAUCGCCUGAUUCUGAAAGUCAAGCCUUAACAAGCAGCUUUAGGUGUUUAAAUAAAGCUUGCAUGAUUGAAGAUCCUGAAAGAGAUAUAAAUCCUGAUGGAUUCGCUUCAAAUUCGUGGAGACUCUGUAGUGUAGAACAAGUAGUAUCUUUGAAGUCUCUUCUUAGAGUUGUUCCCAUGUGGUCUAGCAAUAUAAUGGUUCAGCUGAGCUUAAACCAAUUUUCAUUUGCCACACUCCAAACAAAGACAAUGGAUAGACAU